CGGAGGAGUAACCUGCCGGUGUGGGACUUCUCGGGCUGCGGCCACGACUUCAUUCCUUCUUACUGCUGAGCAAUAUUCCAUUGCAAGAAGUUUCUUAUGGUCAAGCCCCAUGAUCAAGUCCUUGGCCUGUUAAAUUGGUAGUCCCCAAUGCUUGCAAGAAUAUCAGGAAUUCCCUAGGCCAAGAAACUUCAGGAAUGAAGGUUUGAGUCACCACACCAGGUAAAGAAACAUGGCCAGCUGAAGUGCUUGCUGAGAGCCAAGGGAACAUGGAAUGGGUAGUGGAAGAAAGUAGUGAUUUAUAUGAACUCUGACCACGUGACCAGUUAUGGAAACAAGGACUAUGAUGGCAUGAAUAUUUCCUUCUUGUUUUGUUAUGAGUGUUUGUAUUUGUCUGUAAAGCAAAUGUCUUUGUUUUCUUCUCUACCUUAUCCCCUUAUAUGACAUAAGCUGUAUUUUUCAUUUCACAGUGUUUAAGUUAAAGGAAAUCAAUUUUAAGAGUUAAUGUCUCCUAUUCUGGAGAGAUUUAGUGCAUUUCUGGUUCUUCACAGGACAGUGGAGAUUUGCUAGGCAAAACAUAUGUCUCUUAUUGCUCUUUACUUAAAGAUAAAGUAUGGUUUUAAGAGAUACUUACAACUGCCAAGUUGAGAAGGGGUGGACUGUGAUGGUUAGGUUCAUGUGUCAACUUGGCCAUGUGAUGGUG